rfam:Metarhizium album ARSEF 1941 scaffold_3, whole genome shotgun sequence.
GCUUCCGUAGCUCAGUUGGUUAGAGCUUCGUACUAAUAAGCGUUAGUGAUGCGGAGGCCGCAGGUUCAAGCCCUGCCGGGAGCA